rnacentral:rRNA from 1 species
GGGUUGUGAGGUUAAGCGACCAAGCGUACACGGUGGAUGCCCUGGCAGUCAGAGGCGAUGAAGGACGUGCUAAUCUGCGAAAAGCGCCGGUAAGGUGAUAUGAACCGUUAUAACCGGCGAUGUCCGAAUGGGGAAACCCAGUGUGACUCGUCACACUAUCAUUAACUGAAUCCAUAGGUUAAUGAGGCGAACCGGGGGAACUGAAACAUCUAAGUACCCCGAGGAAAAGAAAUCAACCGAGAUUCCCCCAGUAGCGGCGAGCGAACGGGGAGGAGCCCAGAGCCUGAAUCAGCAUGUGUGUUAGUGGAAGCGUCUGGAAAGGCGCGCGAUACAGGGUGACAGCCCCGUACACAAAAGCGCAUGUGCUGUGAGCUCGAUGAGUAGGGCGGGACACGUGGUAUCCUGUCUGAAUAUGGGGGGACCAUCCUCCAAGGCUAAAUACUCCUGACUGACCGAUAGUGAACCAGUACCGUGAGGGAAAGGCGAAAAGAACCCCGGCGAGGGGAGUGAAACAGAACCUGAAACCGUGUACGUACAAGCAGUGGGAGCAUGAGUUUACUCAUGUGACUGCGUACCUUUUGUAUAAUGGGUCAGCGACUUAUAUUCUGUAGCAAGGUUAACCGAAUAGGGGAGCCGGAGGGAAACCGAGUCUUAACCGGGCGUUAAGUUGCAGGGUAUAGACCCGAAACCCGGUGAUCUAGCCAUGGGCAGGUUGAAGGUUGGGUAACACUAACUGGAGGACCGAACCGACUAAUGUUGAAAAAUUAGCGGAUGACCUGUGGCUGGGGGUGAAAGGCCAAUCAAACCGGGAGAUAGCUGGUUCUCCCCGAA